rnacentral:lncRNA from 1 species
CAUGUGGAGGAAGCAAUCUCCAGAUCUUCACGAGGCCUCCUUGAUGAUUCAGUGAUAUUAGGAACAAAGGGAGACAGCAGGGCAAGGCAGUGAGGGGCAUGGGCUAUGCACCCCGUUAAUCAAACACUAUAUAUAUAAAUGUUGGUUAAAUUAAAUCAAAGCACUGCUCUGUUUCCAAGAAAAGGCAACAAUAAAAUUUUAUCAGAAAUGUGAUUUUUUUAGCCCUGGGCAUUGGAACCUCCUGGGGAGUUUUUCAUUCCUAGAUCUACUUCAUACCAACUGAAUGAGACUCUCUGGAGUGGGACCCAAUCCCUGGAAUACUUUUUUUUUUUUUUUGAGAUGGAGUCUCGCUCUAUUUCCCAGGCUGGAGUGCAGUGGCAUGAUCUUGGUUCACUGCAACCUCCACCUUAUGGGUUUUUUUUUUUUUUUUUUUUUUUUUUUUUUUUUUUUUUUUUUUUUUUUUUUUUUUUUUUUUUUUUUUUUUUUUUUUUUUUUUUUUUUUAUUUUUAGUAGAGAUGGGGUUUUGCCAUAUUGGCCAAGGUGGUCUCGAACUCCUGACCUCAAGUGACCCAUCUGCCUUGGCCUCCUUAAGUGCUGGGAUUACAGGCAUAAGCCACCAUGUCCGGCCUGGAAUCCUUUUAAAUCUCCCCAG